rnacentral:lncRNA from 1 species
UCCCUGCCCACCGGUGAUCCUGCCGAUCAGCUCCUCCCCCUCACUCCCUCCCAGUGCCUCCCGCCCACCGCGGAUCAGCUAUUCAGCAGCGUGCAGGAGAUGCUGCGGUGGAGGGGGCAGGAGCGAGGGUCAAGCACCCCCGGGGAAAUGAGGAAGCCAGAGCCUGUGCUGAAGCAUCAUCACUGGACUUCAAAGUUGACAUUUCCAUGAGACUGCUAAAGGACAGAACUGUUCACACAUCUGAGACAUUUGAAGCUUUCUGCAGAUUCAGUAAGACAUCAAUGGUUCAGUUACUCAGUUCACAUCGGAAAGCUUUUUUGUGUGUGUGCUACCACGUGACUAGGAACUCACCUAUUUUUAAUGAACAGUGAGAUUCUCGACCACAUAAACGCAAAUGCAUCAAGCAAGCCAAACUCAUUCUGCAGCCUGAAUGUUUGACAUCCCAUUCUAAGUUAUGCAGGGACUGAGGUUCCCCCCUUCUGCCCAUGGGAUUUCAGGCAUGCAACUACAUGUAUCAGGCAUCCAGAAUUUGACUCAAGCACAGACUGAACUUACAUUGGCUGACAAAGUUCUUCAAGGAAUCCCCUCUCCAGGAGAGAUCACAAUUAAUCCUGUGUUGCUAGACCAUCUGGAAAAGAGCUUGGCCUCAGUAAGUGGUACUUUCAAAAGAAGCUGUGAGAUGUUUGCCACGCUGCUAAGAUUUUACUGAAUUGCUUCAGAUACCCUGUUUUUGUGGUUUCCACUAUGGCAGAAGUCUUAAAUGGAGGUUCUUUAUAAAGAACACAUGGAAGUUUCAUGGCCUAAU